CUGCUGCAGAUUUUUAGACCUGCAUCCUCAGUACUUCAGGAAGCUGAGAAACCCAUAAGACAUUUGGAAAUGUUCCUCAGUAAUUUUUUUAUUUUAACAAAUGCAAGUGAAGAACACUUCACUAGUGGUUGGCAACCCUGGCCAUGGCAGAGUACUACUGCAGGGAGUCUGAGGAACUUAUCACAAGGAAGGCUGCAAGCAGGAUCUGAAAUGUUUUUGUCUGGAGCCUAAGUGAUGCCUGAGGCCGAAAAUACACUCGUGAUACUCCAGUCUGCUGAUCUAUCUCUGAUAAAGAAAACUGCCAUCACCACUGUGUCACAAGCCUUUUUCCUGCCAUAGAGCUCUGUUUCUAAAAAUUUAAAGGCUAUUUUAGGCUGAGGCCUUACAUCUCUUUCUUGUCAUAGGCCACAGAUACUUUAUUGAAGAUGCAAGUUAACAAUCUACCAAACACUUUGGCUUUCAGUGUUGUGGUGGUAACUCUCACUCUUUUACAAGAAACAAACUCUUUUGUUUUCUGGUCUUCUUAGUACAAAUGUUCAAAUUGCCAGAGUGUAUCAGAUCAGCUAACAGAUUACUCUAGCAUGUUCUUACCCUGUGGAGGAGUAAUUCACUAUAGGCAGUCUUCAUUUUCAAUGCCACGAGGUGAUGGUUAAGUCCAGAAGCAGAGGAUGUCUUCAGUAGCACAUUUAAAAU
ensembl:lncRNA